rnacentral:rRNA from 1 species
UCAAGGUUGACCUCGGAUCAGGUAGGGAUA